GAGGGCCCCGGAACUCGAGCCGCAGCGAGAUCCGACCCGGUCGAGCCCCUGGGGCUGUCCG
rnacentral:pre_miRNA from 1 species